AUUAAUGCUGUGUUUGCAGCCGGAAAAAGUUCACUGACAAUGAGGCGAAGAGAUGGUGGGAUGAAAACCAGCAAAUAGUAUGUCAAUAUUACAGUAUUGAUGGUUAUUGAAGUUCCACAAAAAACCGAUAAGGUGCAUAAUUUUUGUUCUCUCACUCUUCACACCCAUGUUUUGCUGACGCGCUGAAAGUACAAUGGUUUCACUUGUCAUUCCACGAUUCAAUAUGAUUGAAAUCGAAUGCUGCAAGGCAAAAAUCAUUCUGUCUUGGCUUUAGAUUGCACAUUCUCAUGAAAGGCAAAUUGCAAACGUGUUCAUAAAUUAUGUCGGAAUGCAAAUUUCCUUUUGCAUCCAUAGUAUAUGUAUUGGAUAAAAUGCUAGAAACACAGUAAAUCCAAUUUAUAGUUUUAGUACGAGGUUGCAUGUCUUCUUUAGAAUAAUAGCUUAUUUGAGUACGUGAGUUCUAUGAAUUGUAUAGUGGUCCAUAAUCAUGGAGGGACAGUAUUGUCUUCCAUUUACAAAAUUUUUCCGGCAAUUAGAGCAUUGUAAUUGCAGAAAAAUUGCAUUGUCAUCAUAAUUGGGUACUAUUGACUUAUUUGAAGUUCUUACUUCCGGAAAU
rnacentral:lncRNA from 1 species